UCUCAUUGAUGAGGCGGAUUGGAUGAAAUUUGUGACUCUUCGGACACAAGACGACACUUCUUGGUAGACCUUGAUGUUCUAUGGGAGGAUGCUCGUAAGAACAAGAAAGGUGUUGUCAAUAACGAACAAGUUCAAGAAGUUACCCUAAAAGAAAAGACAAGUUUGCUGCAAACCUCAGAUAUUCAGGCGGUACUUGAUAAGGCAUUAGGACUGCCUCAAUACUCUUGUCAUAUACGGGGUGCUGGAUUUGGGGUUAGCAAACAUACAUUAAAACCCCGUGAAAAGCGUGCAACCAAAGCUGUUGUAGCUGAUUUGGAGAGCCGAUUCAUGGACCUCACGGAAUGAAUCAUUGAAUUAGAACAUAUAUUGAAAAUUAAAGAGGCUGAGGGACAUCAACCUUCUACGGUCAGUGAAAGUUGUACGUAUCCUAGAAACAACAUUCUCAUUCCACAGGUAAUUUAGUUAACUAAUUUUAAUCUAUUUGAUCUUUAGUGUAAUUAUAUUCCUAAACUAAUUAUAUGUUUAAACAAACAUUUAGGGAACCUGUACUUGCAAACUCUUCCUGGAUAUCCCAUGUAAGCGAGUAGUGGGGGUAUUUUUAUGGUGCACAACACACAGGAUGCCAUGCUGCAUAAUUCACGUAUCCCACCCAAUCAUGUGAGGGUCACAAUUGAUAUUGAAAUUGA